rnacentral:lncRNA from 1 species
UGCUUUGUUUUUUGCUGCUUUGACCUGAUUAGUUUUCCUUUCUUCCCCUCUCUCCGUUUUCUCUGACCGGAGACAGACUUGAGCACAAAAGACAGGAGGAGAGCAUGGAGAUGCCGCUCAGAGGGGGUCUGCAGAGAUUCAAUGCUUCCAGUCUGAUCUCAGUUCCUCCAGUCAGCCAGUGGCAUGACCACUCGCCAGUGUGGUUUCAGUCGCAGGACAGCGGUGUUACUCCAAACUCUUCCCCAAGUCCCACCAGACGGUUUCGACCAGCAGUCAGUGCCACAGUGAGGUGGCCUGCGUUAACUCCACUGAAGAGGAAAGGUGGAGUGGAGUCUGACGGGCCCCCUAAGAAGCUCUUUGUUGCAGGUGUGACGGACCCCACUCAUGGCAGCAGCUACACUGUCAGUGUCUCUCAGUCGGUGGCAGACUCUCCUUCUGCAGGAGGCGUCAGUCCUCAGACUGCCCCUCUGUCUGUUUCUCCUCCCCCAUCCUUCACCUCCCACCAGCUCCCCAGACACUAA